AACGAACGCUGGCGGCAUGCCUAACACAUGCAAGUCGAACGAGACCUUCGGGUCUAGUGGCGCACGGGUGCGUAACGCGUGGGAACCUGCCCUUAGGUUCGGAAUAACUCACCGAAAGGGGUGCUAAUACCGGAUAAUGUCUUCGGACCAAAGAUUUAUCGCCUUUGGAUGGGCCCGCGUUGGAUUAGCUAGUUGGUAGGGUAAAAGCCUACCAAGGCGACGAUCCAUAGCUGGUCUGAGAGGAUGAUCAGCCACACUGGGACUGAGACACGGCCCAGACUCGUACGGGAAGCAGCAGUGGGGAAUAUUGGACAAUGGGCGAAAGCCUGAUCCAGCAAUGCCGCGUGAGUGAUGAAGGCCUUAGGGUUGUAAAGCUCUUUUACCCGGGAUGAUAAUGACAGUACCGGGAGAAUAAGCUCCGGCUAACUCCGUG
rnacentral:rRNA from 1 species